GGGAACGUGCCUUUAGGUUCGGAAUAACUCAGGGAAACUUGUGCUAAUACCGAAUGUGCCCUUCGGGGGAAAGAUUUAUCGCCUUUAGAGCGGCCCGCGUCUGAUUAGCUAGUUGGUGAGGUAAAGGCUCACCAAGGCGACGAUCAGUAGCUGGUCUGAGAGGAUGAUCAGCCACAUUGGGACUGAGACACGGCCCAAACUCCUACGGGAGGCAGCAGUGGGGAAUCUUGCGCAAUGGGCGAAAGCCUGACGCAGCCAUGCCGCGUGAAUGAUGAAGGUCUUAGGAUUGUAAAAUUCUUUCACCGGGGACGAUAAUGACGGUACCCGGAGAAGAAGCCCCGGCUAACUUCGUGCCAGCAGCCGCGGUAAUACGAAGGGGGCUAGCGUUGCUCGGAAUUACUGGGCGUAAAGGGAGCGUAGGCGGACAUUUAAGUCAGGGGUGAAAUCCCGGGGCUCAACCUCGGAAUUGCCUUUGAUACUGGGUGUCUUGAGUAUGAGAGAGGUGUGUGGAACUUCGAGU
rnacentral:rRNA from 1 species